AGCGAACGCUGGCGGCAGGCCUAACACAUGCAAGUCGAGCGGAAAGGCCACUUCGGUGGUACUCGAGCGGCGAACGGGUGAGUAACACGUGAGUAAUCUGCCCUUGGCUUUGGGAUAGCCACCGGAAACGGUGAUUAAUACCGGAUACGACCACUUCUCGCAUGGGAUGGUGGUGGAAAGUUUUUCGGCCAGGGAUGUGCUCGCGGCCUAUCAGCUUGAUGGUGAGGUAAUUGCUCACCAUGGCUUCGACGGGUAGCCGGCCUGAGAGGGUGACCGGUCACACUGGGACUGAGACACGGCCCAGACUCCUACGGGAGGCAGCAGUGGGGAAUAUUGGACAAUGGGCGGAAGCCUGAUCCAGCAACGCCGCGUGAGGGAUGACGGCCUUCGGGUUGUAAACCUCUUUCGGUGGGGACGAAGCGCAAGUGACGGUACCCACUAAAGAAGCACCGGCCAACUACGUGCCAGCCGCCGCGGUAACAC
rnacentral:rRNA from 1 species